CCCAGCCAGAGGAGGGACCGGCCUUAACCUCCAGGAGGGUGGCAGCCGAGGCAAUUGAUUUGAGAACUUCCUCCUGCUCGAAUGUAAGCACCAGUGCAGCUGCCCAACAGCGCGUCCAUCUCACCCAGUUCUGGGCAGACCCAGAGGCCGAGGCCGGGUCCUGUCGGGGACGUUUUGAAGUUUUGGCCACAACUCUUCUGAGAACAAAGACCCCGGCAUCUGCCCGGCUCCACCCCCGGGCCUCGGAGAUUUACGGGCAGCGAGCACAGGAGAUGGGCUCUCACGGAGGAACCGGCAAAGGCCCAGCAGGUGGACGGCAUGUGUCGGAGCAGGAGGCAUGGAUCCCAGCGGGGCCUGGGGCCCACGUCCACCUCGAUGCAUCCUGCGUGGCUCCCCAUCCCCCGCCAAGACCUCCUCAGCCUGAGGGAGGAGGAGUGUGGCAGCCGUGGGCCUGGUCAGUAAAAACUUAAAGAAAGAAAGGAAGAAAGAAAAAGAGACGAGGCCAAAAAUGACGGUGAUGUGCGGCCCCUCAUCUGGACGGGAGUGAGUCCAGGAGGGCUUCCUGCUAGAGGUGACCUUCAGGCCAGCCCUUCUCUGCAGACAUCUGCUGUCCGUCACCACCUCGAGGGAGCCGCAGACCAGGACUCUGCAACUAACCGUGUGGAAAUGAGCUCGCCAAGGCCCUGCCCGGACCCCCUGCUGGGUGGGGCGUCCCAACGAGGACCCGGCCCUGCUCUCCCCAGCUCAGCCUGGGUGGCGGGCCGAGGACCGGCUGAGUCACACCGGAUGCCGGGUGCCAAAAUGCCUUCCAGCCUCUGGUCACUGCUGCACGGCCGUAGGAAAGGACUCUACACACAGGGGCUAUAUUUAGAUAAAUGCCUGAACUCACAAGUUCUUGAUGAGCGGUAUACACGUGUGAGAGUCAGCAUUUCCCCUUGUUCCGGAUUUGUGCGGUGGGGCACUGAGGAGAAUUCUUAGAAAUAAAUGCUGAGG